UGGUUGCCAGGGACCCAGAUCACAAUCACAUGAAUGCAGGGAUGCUGAGAUGGCCUGAAUUUUAUGGACCGGUCAUCCGAUAAGGGGACAAGUUCAGGGAUUAGAACAACCAAUUACACAUUAAAAAUGCUACCAUCCUCAGAGCAACCCCACCCCCAUUGAAUUAUGUAGCUUCAAAGGUGUCAACGAUGCGAACUGGUAGUAAAGGAGAGACUCUCAAAGGGAAGGAAGCUUUCUUUCCCAUCUGCUGAAGGCGUGCCAAACAUUCCUAGCAAUGGUUUAGAUAGAGAGCAAGCUGACCGUUUUCCUGGCAGGCCGAGAA